GAAACCAGUUUAUGAGGGUUCAACUCCUUCCUUUCUUG
rnacentral:tRNA from 1 species